rfam:Schistosoma haematobium scaffold341_9, whole genome shotgun sequence.
ACCAGCUGACGAGUCCCAAAUAGGACGAAACGCGCGUCCUGGAU